AUAGGAACCACCUGGAAACUUUUUUCCCCGAAAACCACAUGCCUGGUCCCAACUCCUGACUCAGUAGGGGUGCGAAGGAUCCCCAUCAUGUGUAUUUCGAAAAAGCUCACCAGAGAAUUCUGCUGGAUGCCAAAGUUUGAACACUAGACCUUUAGAGAAGGGAGACUGAAUUUUGGCAAAUACUCAAGAUUACAUAAAGGCAGGGGGUGGAGAUGAGAAAAGAGCUCUCCCUAGCCUCCGUCUUGAGCCAUGAAAGUGUCACUGCCAGAGAGAGACUGUGCAGGAAUGAAGACACAAGUUACCACCAGACAAAUGACUGAAAGCAUCUUUUGACUCCGAGAAGCGACAUGCUUAGCUCCUCAGGCACGUGACUUGUUUCCUGGGAAACAGAUCAAGAGAUGGGGCCACCUAUUGGGCUUCAUGAAUAAGCCUAAUAGUUGAUCAUCAGCUUGACUUAUCUACAUCUGCUCACGGGCAGUGCUAAGAAGGACCCCCAAGUCCUAUAAUGAGGGCUUCCGGGCAGUCUUUUUCACAUCGAGGCUACAUUAUGGAUCACCUUCUUUUGCAUUGCUGUCUGUGAGCGUUGUUCUUUCUUUAAUUAAAUCCCUUGAGUGAAAGGAUCUUCCCAAUCAAACAAAUUCUGGAACUGUCUGCAGAGUUCAGGAGCACUGGGGUCGAGGAGGAAGCAGCGGCCUCUUCAACCCUGAGACCCUGAUGAAAGUGGCUGUCGUUGCUCUGUUAUGCAAAACACAAACAGGACAAACGGGGAAAAGGAGGAGAAAGACUCACUUUGACAAGAGAAAAUGCUCAAUUUAAUACUAAUGAAUGCCAAAUACCUUUUUAACAGUCUGAGAAAAAAAGCAAUAAAAGUAAAGAAUGCUAAUAUUUAUUGAACAAUGGUGAUGAGCUGGCAUUUUGCUAAAUCUUUUCCACCUUAGUCUUAAUCUUCUAAUAACCAUAUAAAAUAGGUAGCAUGGUUAUCCCCCUCAGAGAGUAGAAAACUGAGGCUUAAAGAGAUUGUAGGACUUGUCUAAAGUUAC
rnacentral:lncRNA from 1 species